rnacentral:rRNA from 1 species
GACGUAGGGGGCGAGCGUUGUCCGGAUUUACUGGGCGUAAAGCGCGCGCAGGCGGCCCGUUAAGUCGGAUGUGAAAACCUGGGGCUCAACCCCAGGCCUGCACCCGAUACUGGCGGGCUCGAGGCAGGUAGGGGAGAGUGGAAUUCCCGGUGUAGCGGUGAAAUGCGCAGAUAUCAGGAAGAACACCUAUGGCGAAGGCAGCACUCUGGGACGGUACUGACGCUGAGACGCGAAAGCGUGGGGAGCGAACAGG